GUUAGAGCUUCUAUGGUUGUCGUAGAGGCAGCUGCUGUGGUUGACGUAGGAGCUGUAGUUGUGAUUGUUGUAGCAAGUACAGCAGGUGGAGUGGUCGUGGUAGCUACAGUUGUAGAAACUGCAGGAGUUGUAGUAGGUACUGUUGUUGUGGUUGUCGUAGGAGCUGAAGUUGUUGUUGUUGUUGUAGAAGGUGCUGCAGUCACUGUGGUCGNNNNNNNNNNUAGGGGCAGCUUCUGUGGUUGAAGUAGAGGCUAAAGUUGUUGUAGGCGCUGCAGUUGUCGUGGGAGCUACAGUUGUUGUAGGUGUUGCUGUUGUGGUUGUCGUAGGCGCUGAAGUUGUAGUUGAUGUAGAAAGUGCUGCAGUCGCAGUGGUUGUAAGAAUAGCAUUUGUUAUUGCAGGAGCUGCAGUUGUUGUUGUAAUAGGUUCUGGAGUUGUAGUGGUCGUUGGAGCAGCAGUUGUUGUAGUUAGAGCUUCUAUGGUUGUCGUAGAGGCAGCUGCUGUGGUUGACGUAGGAGCUGUAGUUGUGAUUGUUGUAGCAAGUACAGCAGGUGGAGUGGUCGUGGUAGCUACAGUUGUAGAAACUGCAGGAGUUGUAGUAGGUACUGUUGUUGUGGUUGUCGUAGGAGCUGAAGUUGUUGUUGUUGUUGUAGAAGGUGCUGCAGUCACUGUGGUCGUAAGAACAGCAGUUGUUGUAGUAGGAGCUGCACUGGUUGUCGUAGUAGGUUGUGGCGUUGCAGUGGUCGUAGGAGCAGCAGUUGUUGUAGUUAGGGCUGUCGUAGGGGCAGCUUCUGUGGUUGAAGUAGAUGCUAAAGUUGUUGUAGGAGCUGCUGUUGUCGUGGGAGCUACAGUUGUUGUAGGUGUUGCUGUUGUGGUUGUCGUAGGAGCUAAAGUUGUAGUUGUUGUAGCAGGAGCUGCAGUGGUUGUCGUAGUAGGUUCUGGAGUUGUAGUGGUCGUAGGAGCAGCAGUUGUUGUAGUUAGGGCUGCAGCGGCUGUCGUAGGGGCAGCUUCUGUGGUUGAAGUAGAUGCUAAAGUUGUUGUAGGAGCUGCUGUUGUCGUGGGAGCUAUAGUUGUUGUAGGUGUUGCUGUUGUGGUUGUCGUAGGAGCUGAAGUUGUAGUUGUUGUAGCAGGAGCUGCAGUGGUUGACGUAACAGGUUCUGGAGUUGUAGUGGUCGUUGGAGCAGCAGUCGUUGUAGUUAGGGCUGGUGUGGUUGUCGUAGAGGCAGCUGCUGAGGUUGACGUAGAAGCUACAAUUGUUGUAGCAGGAGCUGUAGUUGUGGUAGUAAGUACAGAAGGUGUGGUGGUCGUGGGAGCUACAGUUGUUGUAGGAGUUGCUGUUGUGGUUGUCGUAGGGGCUGAAGUUGUAGUUGUUGUAGCAGGAGCUGCACUGGUUGUCGUAGUAGGUUCUGGAGUUGUAGUGGCUGUAGGAGCAGCAGUUGUUGUACUUAGGGCUGCAGCGGCUGUCGUAGGGGCAGCUUCUGUGGUUGAAGUAGAUGCUAAAGUUGUUGUAGGAGCUGCUGUUGUCGUGGGAGCUAUAGUUGUUGUAGGUGUUGCUGUUGUGGUUGUCGUAAGAGCUGAAGUAGUAGUUGUUGUAGCAGGAGCUGCAGUGGUUGACGUAAUAGGUUCUGGAGUUGUAGUGGUCGUUGGAGCAGCAGUCGUUUUAGUUAGGGCGGGUGUGGUUGUCGUAGAGGCAGCUGCUGAGGUUGACGUAGAAGCUACAAUUGUUUUAGCAGGAGCUGUAGUUGUGGUUGUUGUAGUAAGUCCAGAAGGUGUGGUGGUCGUGGGAGCUACAGUUGUUGGAACUGCAGGUGUUGUAGUAGGUGUUGCUGUUGUGGUUGUCGUAAGAGCAGAAGCUGUAGUUGUUGUAGAAGGUGCUGCAGUCGUUGUAGUAGUAGGUUCUGGAGUUGUAGUGGUCGUAGGAGCAGAAGCUGUUGUCGUAGGGGCAGCUUCUGUGGUUAAAGUAGAUGCUAAAGUUGUUGUAGGUGUUGCUGUUGUGGUUGUCGUAGGAGCUGAAGUUGUAGUUGUUGUAGCAGGAGCUGCACUGGUUGUCGUAGUAGGUUCUGGAGUUGUAGUUGUUGUAGAAGGUGCUGCAGUCACUGUGGUCGCAAGAACAGCAGUUGUUGUAGUAGGAGCUGCAGUGGUUGUCGUAGAUGCUAAAGCUGUUGUAAGAGCUGCAGUUGUCGUGGGAGCUACANNNNNNNNNNCAGCUUCUGUGGUUGAAGUAGAUGCUAAAGUUGUUGUAGGAGCUGCUGUUGUCGUGGGAGCUACAGUUGUUGUAGGUGUUGCUGUUGUGGUUGUCGUAGGAGCUAAAGUUGUAGUUGUUGUAGCAGGAGCUGCAGUGGUUGUCGUAGUAGGUUCUGGAGUUGUAGUGGUCGUAGGAGCAGCAGUUGUUGUAGUUAGGGCUGCAGCGGCUGUCGUAGGGGCAGCUUCUGUGGUUGAAGUAGAUGCUAAAGUUGUUGUAGGAGCUGCUGUUGUCGUGGGAGCUAUAGUUGUUGUAGGUGUUGCUGUUGUGGUUGUCGUAGGAGCUGAAGUUGUAGUUGUUGUAGCAGGAGCUGCAGUGGUUGACGUAACAGGUUCUGGAGUUGUAGUGGUCGUUGGAGCAGCAGUCGUUGUAGUUAGGGCUGGUGUGGUUGUCGUAGAGGCAGCUGCUGAGGUUGACGUAGAAGCUACAAUUGUUGUAGCAGGAGCUGUAGUUGUGGUAGUAAGUACAGAAGGUGUGGUGGUCGUGGGAGCUACAGUUGUUGUAGGAGUUGCUGUUGUGGUUGUCGUAGGGGCUGAAGUUGUAGUUGUUGUAGCAGGAGCUGCACUGGUUGUCGUAGUAGGUUCUGGAGUUGUAGUGGCUGUAGGAGCAGCAGUUGUUGUAGUUAGGGCUGCAGCGGCUGUCGUAGGGGCAGCUUCUGUGGUUGAAGUAGAUGCUAAAGUUGUUGUAGGAGCUGCAGUUGUCGUGGGAGCUACAGUUGUUGUAGGUGUUGCUGUUGUGGUUGUCGUAAGAGCUGAAGCAGUAGUUGUUGUAGCAGGAGCUGCAGUGGUUGACGUAAUAGGUUCUGGAGUUGUAGUGGUCGUUGGAGCAGCAGUCGUUGUAGUUAGGGCGGGUGUGGUUGUCGUAGAGGCAGCUGCUGAGGUUGACGUAGAAGCUACAAUUGUUUUAGCAGGAGCUGUAGUUGUGGUUGUUGUAGUAAGUACAGAAGGUGUGGUGGUCGUGGGAGCUACAGUUGUUGGAACUGCAGGUGUUGUAGUAGGUGUUGCUGUUGUGGUUGUCGUAAGAGCAGAAGCUGUAGUUGUUGUAGAAGGUGCUGCAGUCGUUGUAGUAGUAGGUUCUGGAGUUGUAGUGGUCGUAGGAGCAGAAGCUGUUGUCGUAGGGGCAGCUUCUGUGGUUAAAGUAGAUGCUAAAGUUGUUGUAGGUGUUGCUGUUGUGGUUGUCGUAGGAGCUGAAGUUGUAGUUGUUGUAGCAGGAGCUGCACUGGUUGUCGUAGUAGGUUCUGGAGUUGUAGUGGUCGUAGGAGCAGCAGUUGUUGUAGUUAGGGCUGCAGCGCCUGUCGUAGGGGCAGCUUCUGUGGUUGAAAUAGAUGCUAAAGUUGUUGUAGGUGUUGCUGUUGUGGUUGUCGUAGGAGCUGAAGUUGUAGUUGUUGUAGCAGGAGCUGCUCUGGUUGUCGUAGUAGGUUCUGGAGUUGUAGUGGUCGUAGGAGCAGCAGUUGUUUUAGUUAGGGCUGCAGCGGCUGUCGUAGGGCCAGCUUCUGUGGUUGAAGUAGAUGCUAAACUUGUUGUAGGAGCUGCUGUUGUCGUGGGAGCUACAGUUGUUGUAGGUGUUGCUGUUGUGGUUGUCGUAGGAGCUGAAGUUGUAGUUGUUGUAGCAGGAGCUGCAGUGGUUGUCGUAAUAGGUUCUGGAGUUGUAGUGGUCGUUGGAGCAGCAGUCGUUGUAGUUAAAACUGGUGUGGUUGUCGUAGAGGCAGCUGCUGAGGUUGACGUAGAAGCUACAAUUGUUGUAGCAGGAGCUGUAGUUGUGGUUGUUGUAGUAAGUACAGAAGGUGUGUUGGUCGUGGGAGCUACAGUUGUUGGAACUGCAGGUGUUGUAGUAGGUGUUGCUGUUGUGGUUGUCGUAAGAGCAGAAGCUGUAGUUGUUGUAGAAGGUGCUGCAGUUGUUGUAGUAGUAGGUUCUGGAGUUGUAGUGGUCGUAGGAGCAGAAGCUGUUGUCGUAGGGGCAGCUUCUGUGGUUGAAGUAGAUGCUAAAGUUGUUGUAGGCGCUGCAGAUGUCAAGGGAGCUACAGUUGUUGUAGGUGCUGCUGUUGUGGUUGUCGUAGGCGCUGAAGUUGUAGUUGAUGUAGAAAGUGCUGCAGUCCCAGUGGUUGUAAGAAUAGCAUUUGUUAUUGCAGGAGAUGCAGUUGUUGUUGUAAUAGGUUCUGGAGUUGUAGUGGUCGUUGGAGCAGCAGUUGUUGUAGUUAGAGCUUCUAUGGUUGUCGUAGAGGCAGCUGCUGUGGUUGACGUAGGAGCUGUAGUUGUGAUUGUUGUUGUAAGUACUGCAGGUGGAGUGGUCGUGGUAGCUACAGUUGUAGGAACUGCAGGAGUUGCAGUAGGUGCUGUUGUUGUGGUUGUCGUAGGAGCUGAAGUUGUUGUUGUUGUAGAAGGUGCUGCAGUCACUGUGGUCGUAAGAACAGCAGUUGUUGUAGUAGGAGCUGCACUGGUUGUCGUAGUAGGUUGUGGAGUUGCAGUGGUCGAAGGAGCAGCAGUUGUUGUAGUUAGGGCUGCAGCAGCUGUCGUAGGGGCAUCUUCUGUGGUUGAAGUAGAUGCUAAAGUUGUUGCAGGAGCUGCUGUUGUCGUGGGAGCUACAGUUGUUGUAGGUGUUGCUGUUGUGGUUGUCGUAGGAGCUAAAGUUGUAGUUGUUGUAGCAGGAGCUGCAGUGGUUGUCGUAGUAGGUUCUGGAGUUGUAGUGGUCGUAGGAGCAGCAGUUGUUGUAGUUAGGGCUGCAGCGGCUGUCGUAGGGGCAGCUUCUGUGGUUGAAGUAGAUGCUAAAGUUGUUGUAGGAGCUGCAGUUGUCAUGGGAGCUACAGUUGUUGUAGGUGUUGCUGUUGUGUUUGUCGUAGGAGCUGAAGUUGUAGUUGUUGUAGCAGGAGCAGCAGUUGUUGUAGUUAGGGCUGCAGCGGCUGUCGUAGGGGCAGCUUCUGUGGUUGAAGUAGAUGCUAAAGUUGUUGUAGGAGCUGCAGUUGUCGUGGGAGCUACAGUUGCUGUAGGUGUUGCUGUUGUGGUUGUCGUAGGCGCUGAAGUUGUAGUUGAUGUAGAAAGUGCUGCAGUCGCAGUGGUUGUAAGAAUAGCAUUUGUUAUUGUAGGAGCUGCAGUGGUUGUUGUAAUAGGUUCUGGAGUUGUAGUGGUCGUUGGAGCAGGAGUUGUUGUAGUUAGAGCUUCUAUGGUUGUCGUAGAGGCAGCUGCUGUGGUUGACGUAGGAGCUGUAGUUGUGAUUGUUGUAGUAAGUACUGCAGUCGCAGUGGUUGUAAGAAUAGCAUUUGUUAUUGCAGGAGCUGCAGUGGUUGUUGUAAUAGGUUCUGGAGUUGUAGUGGUUGUUGGAGCAGGAGUCGUUGUAGUUAGAGCUUCUAUGGUUGUCGUAGAGGCAGCUGCUGUGGUUGACGUAGGAGCUGUAGUUGUGAUUGUUGUAGUAAGUACUGCAGGUGGAGUGGUCGUGGUAGCUACAGUUGUAGGAACUGCAGGAGUUGUAGUAGGUGCUGUUGUUGUGGUUGUCGUAAGAGCUGAAGUUGUUGUUGUUGUAGAAGGUGCUGCAGUCACUGUGGUCGUAAGAACAGCAGUUGUUGUAGUAGGAGCUGCACUGGUUGUCGUAGUAGGUUGUGGAGUUGCAGUGGUCGUAGGAGCAGCAGUUGUUGUAGUUAGGGCUGCAGCAGCUGUCGUAGGGGCAGCUUCUGUGGUUGAAGUAGAUGCUAAAGUUGUUGUAGGAGCUGCUGUUGUCGUGGGAGCUACAGUUGUUGUAGGUAUUGCUGUUGUGGUUGUCGUAGGCGCUGAAGUUGUAGUUGUUGUAGCAGGAGCUGCAGUGGUUGUCGUAAUAGGUUCUGGAGUUGUAGUGGUCGUUGGAGCAGCAGUUGUUGUAGUUAGGGCUGCAGCGGCUGUCGUAGGGGCAGCUUCUGUGGUUGAAGUAGAUGCUAAAGUUGUUGUAGGAGCUGCAGUUGUCGUGGGAGAUACAGUUGUUGUAGGUGUUGCUGUUGUGGUUGUCGUAGGAGCCAAAGUUGUAGUUGUUCUAGCAGGAGCUACACUGGUUGUCGUAGUAGGUUCUGGAGUUGUAGUGGUCGUAGGAGCAGCAGUUGUUGUAGUUAGGGCUGCAGCGGCUGUCGUAGGGCCAGCUUCUGUGGUUGAAGUAGAUGCUAAAGUUGUUGUAGGAGCUGCUGUUGUCGUGGGAGCUACAGUUGUUGUAGGUGUUGCUGUUGUGGUUGUCGUAGNNNNNNNNNNAGUGGUCGUAGGAGCAGCAGUUGUUGUAGUUAGGGCUGCAGCGGCUGUCGUAGGGGCAGCUUCUGUGGUUGAAGUAGAUGCUAAAGUUGUUGUAGGAGCUGCAGUUGUCGUGGGAGCUACAGUUGUUGUAGGUGUUGCUGUUGUGGUUGUCGUAGGAGCUGAAGUUGUAGUUGUUGUAGCAGGAGCUACACUGGUUGUCGUAGUAGGUUCUGGAGUUGUAGUGGUCGUAGGAGCAGCAGUUGUUGUAGUUAGGGCUGCAGCGGCUGUCGUAGGGCCAGCUUCUGUGGUUGAAGUAGAUGCUAAAGUUGUUGUAGGAGCUGCUGUUGUCAUGGGAGCUACAGUUGUUGUAGGUGUUUUGUUUGUGGUUGUCGUUGGAGCUGAAGUUGUAGUUGUUGUAGCAGGAGCUGCAGUGGUUGUCGUAAUAGUUUCUGGAGUUGUAGUGGUCGUUGGAGCAGCAGUCGUUGUAGUUAGGGCUGGUGUGGUUGUCGUAGAGGCAGCUGCUGAGGUUGACGUAGAAGCUACUAUUGUUGUAGCAGGAGCUGUAGUUGUGGUUGUUGUAGUAAGUACAGAAGGUGUGGUGGUCGUGGGAGCUACAGUUGUUGGAACUGCAGGUGGUGUAGUAGGUGUUGCUGUUGUGGUUGUCGUAAGAGCAGAAGCUGUAGUUGUUGUAGAAGGUGCUGCAGUCGUUGUAGUAGUAGGUUCUGGAGUUGUAGUGGUCGUAGGAGCAGAAUCUGUUGUCGUAGGGGCAGCUUCUGUGGUUGAAGUAGAUGCUAAAGUUGUUGUAGGCGCUGCAGUUGUCGUGGGAGCUACAGUUGUUGUAGGUGUUGCUGUUGUGGUUGUCGUAGGCGCUGAAGUUGUAGUUGAUGUAGAAAGUGCUGCAGUCGCAGUGGUUGUAAGAAUAGCAUUUGUUAUUGCAGGAGCUGCAGUUGUUGUUGUAAUAGGUUCUGGAGUUGUAGUGGUCGUUGGAGCAGCAGUUGUUGUAGUUAGAGCUUCUAUGGUUGUCGUAGAGGCAGCUGCUGUAGUUGACGUAGGAGCUGUAGUUGUGAUUGUUGUAGUAAGUACAGCAGGUGGAGUGGUCGUUGUAGCUACAGUUGUCGGAACUGCAGGAGUUGUAGUAGGUGCUGUUGUUGUGGUUGUCGUAGGAGCUGAAGUUGUUGUUGUUGUAGAAGGUGCUGCAGUCACUGUGGUCGUAAGAACAGCAGUUGUUGUAGUAGGAGCUGCACUGGGUAUCGUAGUAGGUUGUGGAGUUGCAGUGGUCGUAGGAGCAGCAGUUGUAGUAGUUAGGGCUGCAGCGGCUGUCGUAGGGGCAGCUUCUGUGGUUGAAGUAGAUGCUAAAGUUGUUGUAGGAGCUGCAGUUGUCGUGGGAGCUACAGUUGUUGUAGGUGUUGCUGUUGUGGUUGUCGUAGGAGCUAAAGUUGUAGUUGUUGUAGCAGGAGCUGCACUGGUUGUCGUAGUAGGUUCUGGUGUUGUAGUGGUCGUAGGAGCAGCAGUUGUUGUAGUUAGGGCUGCAGCGGCUGUCGUAGGGGCAGCUUCUGUGGUUGAAGUAGAUGCUAAAGUUGUUGUAGGAGCUGCAGUUGUCGUGGGAGCUACAGUUGUUGUAGGUGUUGCUGUUGUGGUUGUCGUAGGAGCUAAAGUUGUAGUUGUUGUAGCAGGAGCUGCACUGGUUGUCGUAGUAGGUUCUGGAGUUGUAGUGGUCGUAGGAGCAGCAGUUGUU
rnacentral:lncRNA from 13 species